rnacentral:rRNA from 1 species
UACAGAGGGUGCGAGCGUUAAUCGGACUUACUGGGCGUAAAGCGUGCGUAGACGGUUAUUUAAGUCGGGUGUGAAAGCCCCGGGCUCAACCUGGGAAUUGCAUUCGAGGCUGAAUAGCUAGGGUACGGUAGAGGGAAGCGGGAAUUUCCGGUGUAGCGGUGAAAUGCGUAGAUAUCAGGAAGAACACCCGUGGCGAAGGCGGCGUCUCUGGGACGGUACUGACGCUGAGACGCGAAAGCGUGGGGAGCGAACAGG